ensembl:snoRNA
GGGGAGGUCCAUUUUAAAAAAUAAUAUUAAAAUAUGAAUAAAUUUGAAAUGCCUCAUAGAGUAUCUCUGUGAUUUUAUGUUACCCACGGGACUGUGGUUAAAUAUGUGGGAAAGAACUACAGGACAGUU